AACAGGUAGAUAGAUUAGUUUGUAGUUGGACAGAAGUGAGAGUGAGUGUGAGAGCGAGAGAGGUGCGAAGAGACCUCUUCUAGUUGAAAAACAACAUUUUCAGAACUUGCAACAUUUAUUGGAAAUAAAAUAUGUACUCCAGCACAACAAAGAACAGAUGAUCUCACAACAGUGGGGAGAUUAACUAAUUAAAAGCGUAUGCUUCGCAGUUUUAGACACGAGUGGAAUUUUUUAAUUUAUAUAUUCAGAAAGUGCGGCUAAAUCAAAUUUAAUUCUUUAUAUUUUACUAUCAUCAACAAUUAUUCGCAUUAGAAACUAAUUGCGAUAGUAAAGCAUUGAAAAUGGUCAAAAGCAAAAGAACUAGACAAUAAGCGAGGUAGUCACAUGAUACAAUCAUAAAAAUGUGAGACAAAUUAAAUAAAAAAUCAUCCAGUCUUUUUACUUCGAAGAA